UCCUGUUUCGAAAGUGAUCAUGGUGUGUGUGUGUCGCCAGGUCAUUGAUAGAACAGGAAGAUGAAACUGUGAACCUUUCCCUGUGUUUGAAGGAUGUUCAGUUCCUCUCAGACCCUGGUGCUCACAGACA